CCUACGGGAGGCAGCAGUGGGGAAUAUUGCACAAUGGGGGAAACCCUGAUGCAGCGACGCCGCGUGAGUGAAGAAGUAUUUCGGUACGUAAAGCUCUAUCAUCAGGGAAGAAAAACCGGCCUUAGGGCCGCCAGACGGUACCUGACUAAGAAGCCCCGGCUAACUACGUGCCAGAAGCCGCGGUAAUACGUAGGGGGCAAGCGGUAUCCGGAUUUACUGGGUGUAAAGGGAGCGUAGACGGCAGCGCAAGUCAGGAGUGAAAGGCCGGGGCCCAACCCCGGAAAUGCUUUGGAAACUGUGAAGCUGGAGUGCAGGAGAGGUAAGCGGAAUUCCUAGUGUAGCGGUGAAAUGCGUAGAUAUCAGGAGGAACACCGGUGGCGAAGGCGGCCUGCUGGACUGCAACUGACGUUGAGGCCCGAAAGCGUGGGGAGCAAACAGGAUUAGAUACCCGAGUAGUC
rnacentral:rRNA from 1 species